UGGGAAGAGGAGAUAAAGCAGGCACCAUGGGGACACGGACAGCUGGGGGGGCUGCACCCUCCUCCUCCUCCAUUUAAUAAAACAUGAACAAGGUGCCAGCAUGGAUUAGAUUCACUUCCCCGGUGACAGAAAAUCAAAGGCUUCUCCCAUCUUUUCUAGAGGCGCGUUCCUGAUUGAUCUGGAAGCAGCAGCUCAGUGCGAGGGAAGGAGUCUAUACACACCGCAACAGCUCUUUAAUUUCUUAAUUUAAUAUCUGACACGUAAAGAUUCUCAUUAAGCCAGUCAAUGAAGCCUGGAAAUACAAUUUUCGUGCAAACUGUCGCUAUCAUAACUUACACGAAACUUCAGCUGGUGCCCUGUGAGCGGCGUGAUUAAAACCAUUCAUCUUCCCUGUCAGCCUCCCGUCACCGCACCACCCGUGCCACCGCCGCUGGGUGCUGGGUGUGGGGUGCACAGUACCCACACUUGGGGGGCACAGGCAGCCGUGGCAUCACCCAGUAGGAUGGAGGUGGUUGAGAGAGCUGCCCAAAGUGUGCUCGUUAGGGAAAUGAAUCCCUCUCGGGUCUCUGUGCUGUAGUACAAAUAAAAGGCGUUGGACU
rnacentral:lncRNA from 7 species